GACAGAGGUGCCGAGCGUUAGGCGGAAUCACUGGGCUUAAAGCGUGUGUAGGCGGGCGGGCAAGUACCUUGUGAAAUCCCACGGCUCAACCGUGGAACUGCUGGGUAUACUGCCUGUCUUGAGCCAGCCAGGGGCAGUCGGAACAGACGGUGGAGCGGUGAAAUGCGUAGAUAUCGUCUGGAACGCCAAAGGUGAAAACAGACUGCUGGGGCUGUGCUGACGCUGAGACACGAAAGCCAGGGGGAGCGAACGGG
rnacentral:rRNA from 1 species